ACAUGCCUACAACAAAGCAUUAAUGCAUCGGAUCCCAUUAGAACUAUGCAAUCAAGCACACUCUGCAUAGAGUAGUACUGGGAUGGGUGACUGUCCAGGAAGUCCUAGUGUUUUACAUGAC
rnacentral:rRNA from 1 species